GACGAACGCUGGCGGCGUGCUUAACACAUGCAAGUCGAACGGAAAGGCCCUGCUUUUGUGGGGUGCUCGAGUGGCGAACGGGUGAGUAACACGUGAGUAACCUGCCCUUUACUUUGGGAUAACUUCAGGAAACUGGGGCUAAUACCGGAUAGGAGCUCCUGCUGCAUGGUGGGGGUUGGAAAGUUUCGGAGGUUGGGGAUGGACUCGCGGCUUAUCAGCUUGUUGGUGGGGUAGUGGCUUACCAAGGCUUUGACGGGUAGCCGGCCUGAGAGGGUGACCGGCCAAAUUGGGACUGAGAUAAGGCCAAGACUCAUACGGGAGGCAGCAGUGGGGAAUAUUGCAAAAUGGGCGGAAGCCUGAUGCAGCAACGCCGCGUGCGGGAUGACGGCCUUCGGGUUGUAAACCGCUUUCGCCUGUGACGAAGCGUGAGUGACGGUAAUGGGUAAAGAAGCACCGGCUAACUACGUG
rnacentral:rRNA from 1 species